rnacentral:rRNA from 1 species
UACGGAGGGUGCAAGCGUUGUCCGGAUUUAUUGGGUUUAAAGGGUGCGUAGGUGGGGUCUCAAGUCUGGUUUGAAAGUCGGCGGCUUAACCGUUGGAUGUGGCUGGAAACUGGGAUUCUUGAAUGCGCUGGCGGUAGCCGGAACGGGUCAUGUAGCGGUGAAAUGCAUAGAUAUGACCCAGAACACCGAUUGCGAAGGCAGGCUACUACGGCGUGAUUGACACUGAGGCACGAGAGCAUGGGUAGCGAACAGG